AUUUUCUCUCUCUGCUCGCCGAUGGGGAGCACCACUCGACCCAGCAAACGGCGACCAUCACUGAUUCCAAUUCCGACUCUUCUCUCUCUCGCUCCGGCCUCGAGCGCCCGAAGCGGAGUCUCUACUAAUCACAGCUGCUCUGCGAGCUGGUAUGGAAUUGCUUUACUAGGAUCCCUGACUUGUUGAUUACAAGGCAGUUUCGUCGUUCGUAAAGUUUAGUCUACUUGGGUAUCAGUUUCUGGGAGUAUUAUGGAUUGGAACAAGCGGAAUGUUCUCAGCCAACGGCCUACUGUGCAGUUUAAAAGAAAAGGGAGCGGCAACAAGAAAGGAAACUGGAAUAAUUCAAACCGCGAACAGUCUUCAGGAAAUUCUCAGUCCCUUGAUACUGUGUAUCGUAUACUUUGCCCCUCUAAAAAAAUUGGUGGUGUAAUUGGAAAAGGUGGUGGCAUAAUCAAAUCCCUGAGAGAAGAGACCCGGUCCAAGAUUACAGUUGCUGAUUCUGCUCCGGGCUCAGAUGAGAGGGUCAUUAUUAUCUUUAGUUCCCCAAUCAAAAUUUCAAGGAAACAAAAUAGUGAUGAAGAUUCAAAGGAGCCCUUGGAGCCACACUGUGCUGCCCAAGAUGCACUUUUGAAAGUUCAUGACAGGAUUGUAGAGGAAGAUCUUUAUAAUGGAGUUACAUUUGAUGAUGAUAAUGAGAAUAUUGUUGUCACAAGACUUCUAGUUCCAAACAACUUGGUAGGAUGUCUUCUAGGAAAGCGUGGGGAUGUUAUUCAAAGAUUGCGAAGUGAGACACGUGCA